rnacentral:misc_RNA from 1 species
AACGCAUAUUGCGCCCUUUGGUAUUCCGAAGGGCAUGUCUGUCCGAGCGUCAUUAUCAUCCUUCAAGCACUUAAAGCUUGUGUUGAGCUAUUUUGUUCUUUAUUAAAAAUGAACAAGCUCGAAAUGCAGCGGCGAUGCCUAAGUUUGGUGCCCAAGCAUUAUAGGGCUUUGUCACAUGCUUUCGUGGCCCAGACUGGUAAUGUUCUGCCUUAAACUUUAUUAUAAUUUAAUCAAGAUUGACCUCGGAUCAGGCAAGAAUACCCGCUGAACUUAA